GCCCGGGUGGCGGAAUGGCAGACGCGCAGGACUUAAAAUCCUGUGGAGAUAUACUCCGUGUGGGUUCGACUCCCACCUCGGGCA
rnacentral:tRNA from 1 species